rnacentral:rRNA from 1 species
UACGUAGGGUGCGAGCGUUAAUCGGAAUUACUGGGCGUAAAGCGUGCGCAGGCGGUUUGUUAAGACAGAUGUGAAAUCCCCGGGCUUAACCUGGGAACUGCAUUUGUGACUGGCAAGCUAGAGUAUGGCAGAGGGGGGUAGAAUUCCACGUGUAGCAGUGAAAUGCGUAGGGAUGUGGAGGAAUACCGAUGGCGAAGGCAGCCCCCUGGGCCAAUACUGACGCUCAUGCACGAAAGCGUGGGGAGCAAACAGG